rfam:Triticum aestivum genome assembly, contig: Triticum_aestivum_CS42_TGACv1_scaffold_503198_6BL
CAACUACUCCCUCUGUCCCAAAUUUCUUGUCUUAGAUUUGUCUAGAUACGGAUGUAUCUAAUACUAAAAUGUGAUUUGAUACAUCCGUAUCUAGACAAAUCUAAGACAAGAAUUUUGGGACGGAGGGAGUACUUU